CGCGUGCACGGCCCGUUCGUGUCGGACGAGGAAGUCGAGAAGAUCGUCCGUCAUCUCAAGUCGCAGGGUCAGCCUGAAUACCUCGAGGCGGUCACCGCGGAAGAGGAAACCGACGAGGACGGCAACGCCGUAUUCGACGGCACGAGCAUGGGCGCCAACGGCGGCGAAGGCGACCUGUUCUCGCAGGCCGUUGCGAUCGUCA
rnacentral:misc_RNA from 1 species